UGUCAACCACCUUCAAUAGGUUUGAUCAAUGGUGCUGACGACUAUUUUAGGAUUUAUGAUUUUUUAAAUGGAAUUGGGACUAGUUGGGUGAAAAGUUUUGAGAAUCUGGGUGUAGAAUACUUUUAGCUCUGAUACCAAUUUGAUGUAGGAUAAAUAUGGUUGAUUUAAGCUAAUUGGGGAUUAAGGACAAAAAAACCUAGAUAUCACAUCUAAAGUUUCUUAGACAUCACAUCU
rnacentral:lncRNA from 1 species